AGUCUCGGGACCCAGACUUCCUGUUUCGGUGGACACCUCAGAGCUCAUUCAGACUGGUUUCUGAGAGCCCUGAGUUUCACCUGCAGGCGGUCUCGACACGUCCCGGUCCCUGAUUCUUGGAGGUCUAAACGGCUCCAGGAGAUGCAGGAAGUCAUGAAGAGGACCCGACCAGCGAUUACUACGACUACGCCUCGGUGACGCCGACGCCCGACUACGACUACACGGCGACCUUUGAUUAUUACUUUGUGACGGGACUGUACCCCUCGAAAGUCCAUAACAAGGCUGCAGGGAUUGGUCGGACCGGCCCGGUGCUCCUGCUGGGAUUGGCUGUUCAUCACAUAUGGAAUUGAAGGAGGCGGGGCCGGAGACCACCUGCAGACAGGCCCUGACCCCUGACCCCUGACCCCUGACCUCUGACCUCACACCACCUGAAGAGCCUGGAAUCAAACGUCAGCUGAUCGUCAACAACCUGCUGGUUUCUUAAAGUUUGAUGUUCCUGAAAUCAGCUGACUGAUGUCUGAUCAAUAACUCUGUUACCAUGACGACAAUGUUUUUAUUCUGUUGUAAAUAAUGUCACACACACACACACACACACACACACCACACCACACACACUGAACAGCUGACUGCUGUUUUCUUUAAAAUGUGUUUUUUCUAUAACAAACAGAAACUUGUGUUUGACCUUUGACCCUGAAGCUUCCCAGAGGUCAAAGGUUACAGAUGUACUUGAUGUGUUUCUCUUGUACAGACUGACUCAGUUUAAAGCUCCUGUGAGGGAGGGUCACUCUGUGUUGAGUUUGGCGCCCCCUGUGGUCACAGCGGUUCCUGCUCUGUGCUGAUCUUCUUCAUGUGGAAGUAGAUCAACUCUCAUCCUGCGGUCUGUCACAGUCAGGCUCCUCCCCCUCUGGGAGGAAGGUCAACAGACUGUUUCCUCAGAGCGCUCUCUGAUACGAGCUCUCAGUGUCAUCAGGCUUUAAAUGAAAACAGAGGAACCGUUGUCAUCGUCGUUGCUGAUGGUCUGUUUGCUUGGAGGGUCAUGAAGAGGCCUCAGUAUGAAGCUCGCUCACUCUGUUUAAAACUCCUCACUGGAGCUUUAAAGAAUCCACUUCCUGUAAACCUUCCUUUGUUUCUUCUGAAGUGGAUCCAAGGGAGUGAAACCCAGACCGUCAUCAUUCUCUGAUCACGUGACAGCGUUUACUCAGAAACACGCCUCACACAUGAAGAAGAGGAGAUCAGCAGAACGAGGUGAUUCGCUGCUUCGUCCACAGGGGGCGCCAACAUCAACACACACUGAGAGUUCCUCACUGGAGCUUUAAACUAAACUCCUGUUUCACACUCUGUCUGUUGAUCACUGAUCAGACCGACUGCAGAUCUCAUGGAAAUGAAACGUUAACAAAAUAAAAGUUGAUUUUAUUUUGUAAGGUU